CUCAACUUCAUUUGAUUCAUUUCUCAUUUCUCAGAACUCUCGUCUCUCCUCUCUCUCUCUCUCUCUGGUCUUUGUUUCAGAUAUUUGAUUUAUAAAAAUAUUCUACAAUUUUAAAGAGAAACAAGAAGAAAAAGAUUUUGGUUUAUUUAUUGCAAUUAUUGAAAUCUACUUCAAUUUUAAAGAGAAACAAGAAGGAAAAGAUGUCCAGGAAUUUGCAGAUGACUUGCAAGUGGUUUGCUUGGUGAGGGGCACUGAAAAAAUGGCCGGAUCUGAAAAAAUUGUCGGAUUUGAGCUAGUAGGAGAGAUGAGGAGAGGGGGUGCGUUGGGGGU